UACAGAGGUUUCAAGCGUUGUUCGGAUUCAUUGGGCGUAAAGGGUGCGUAGGCGGCGCGGUAAGUCGGGUGUGAAAUCUCGGAGCUUAACUCCGAAACUGCAUUCGAUACUGCCGUGCUUGAGGACUGGAGAGGAGACUGGAAUUUACGGUGUAGCGGUGAAAUGCGUAGAUAUCGUAAGGAAGACCAGUGGCGAAGGCGGGUCUCUGGACAGUUCCUGACGCUGAGGCACGAAGGUCAGGGGAGCAAACAGG
rnacentral:rRNA from 1 species